UGUAGUGGUACUCUAGUGGAUAAUUAUGCCUAAAUUUAGGGUGGUGGUGGCUGUCAAGUCUAUCAUGGUGGAGAGGUGCUUGGAGCAUAGACAGCGGCCAUGAGAAACACAUCUGUCAUAAGCCUGACUGAUGCACCCUUGUCCUCAACUCUGCCUGAGAGUGGGGAACCUUUUGGUCACAUUCACUGGUAACUUAUAGUCAUGUCAUAAGCAAACCUUUUUUGAAGAGAUUUUCCUAGUUGCCCCUUUGGAAACAGUUAUUCUGAGCAACUAAUGAUUUCUACAAGGAGGAUACAGACUUGCUGAGAGUGCCACAUAGCAAAUGUUUUAGACUAUCUCCUCUUUCUGUAAUAAGUGAGGACUAGAAAAUAAAUAAAUGAAAGAGUAAAACUACCAGUGUGUACUGAAAUAUGAAUUUCCUAUAGUUUUUUUUUUUUUUUGUUUUGUUUUGUUUUUUGAGAUAGGAUUUCUCUGUGUAACUUCCGCAUUUGUCCUGGAAUUCACUUUGUAGCCCAGACUGUCCUCGAACUCACAGCCUGCCUCUGCCUCCCAAGCACUGGGAUUAAAUGCGUGUGCCACCACCACCUGGUACCUCCUGUCAUCUUUAAAAUAGUCACCUCAGGCCCAAGUGCUGGGAUUAAAGGGUUGCGCCACGUCUGCCUGGCGAAUUUCCUAUAGUUUUAAUGUGUCACAUUAUUCUGAUGGCUUUUUACAUUUUAUUCAGCCGUUUACAAAUGUAAAGGUUGUCCUUAACUUAGUUGCUGUACAAAAACAAGUUGUUACCCCAAGUGCAUUUCUGUUACAAGAAACUUUGAGGUAGAGAGAGUAAGGAGACUGAGACGCUAAUUCCUUUCAUCCCUAAGGGUCACAAGUCCUUACAGUUAUUAUUAUUUAUAAUGCUAUAUUUUAUUCUUCUAUUUGAGUUUGGGAACCCAAGAGACAAAACCGUAUACAAACAAGGAACCACCAGCCAGCACAGCAAAGUGAAGUCCCAGAAGAGCAGUGUCUCUAGGAAGGUAAUUAACACAUUACUAACAGUAGCUUACAGAGGUCAGGCCCCAUGGGAGAGAAGCUAACAGGUUUUGUCAGACUUAGGUACAGAUGUGUAGGAAGUGGAUUUGGGGUCUCUAAUAGUGGCACUAGACCCUCUAAGAAUAUAUUGUAAAGGUUUCCUAUGUUGUUCCCAUUUUGAUAAAAACAGCUAUAUUUCUAUGAUGAGUGGAGGAAGAUUCAUACUGCAAACUUUUAUCAGAAGAAUUUUUUGCCUCAUUAUAUUGCUUUCUCAAGACCUCACAUUCCUGUAGGAUUUAAGUGCCCGGUAUGCUCAAAAUUUGUACCUUCAGAUGAAAUGGAUUUACAUCUUGUGAUGUGUUUAACAAAGCCAAGAAUAACCUAUAAUGGGAUUAUUUCACAUUUCAGCUGCUUUUGUUUUCUUCUGCUAUCAUUGAGGGGUCAAGAAAAAGUAAAGCUUCAGAGGAUGUGCUGAGUAAAGAUGCUGGGGAAUGUGCAAUAUGCCUUGAGGAAUUGCAGCAGGGAGAUACCAUAGCACGACUGCCUUGCCUGUGUAUAUACCAUAAAGGCUGCAUAGAUGAAUGGUUUGAAGUAAAUAGAUCUUGUCCAGAGCACCCUUCAGAUUAAGCAUCAGAUUCCUGUGUUAUGGAGCAGCUCUCCUCUGAGUUAAAAUUUACAUGUAACAGAAACACCGAGGGGAAACAGCGCCUAAGGAAUUGGACAGAAAUGUACCUGCGUGGCUUUUCUCCACAACCGAAAUAGAGAAAUUUCCAUCAUCCUCAAAGUUACCUCAUGUCCCUUGAGUAGGUUCCCGUCCAUCUACCCUCAGCCCCAGCCACUGCUGUCUGCUUUGUGUUGUUGUGGAUUAGGGGAAAUCAGUAUGGCUUUUAUUUGUGUGUGGUUUCACUCAGCGUGACUCUGUGAAAAGCACACAUGUUACUUGAGUCAGUUUUCUUCUGAGUAAUAUUCUGUUACAUGAAGAUGCUGUUAUCCUAUUGGUGUGGACCUCAGCUGUUUUUAGUUUGGGUUAUUAUGAAUAAAUGAUUGUGAACAUUUAUAUACAAUGUGUGUGAACAUAUAACUCCAUUUUUCUUCAAUAAAUAUUGGUGGUAAAA